ACGCUUGAAUCGUCGCAGCCAAAGCCCUAUUUCUGUCAUGUCUCUUCGGGGACUAUGGCGAUAAACGCGCUCGUAAUAAGCGGCUCGGACCCGGGGGCGGUACCCGGCGGCUCCACCAAAAAUCCCGCGUUGGGGGAUCAUGGGGCCGAAAUAGGAUCGACGGACGUCUAAAGGGGUUUGCUUUCGCUCGGUGAGGUACCACCGUUACCGGUCCGAUAAGCAUAAUUGCCAACGACAAUCGUGCUCCGGUGGCAGUCGCUGCGUAAUGCAGUGACCAAAACCGAAAUCUAAGCCCAGUCGCCUAGCAGCGGUCUGGCGGGGUUCGCAGGCACCUGGCAACAGAAGCCUGCACU
rnacentral:tmRNA from 2 species